UGAGGAAUAUUGGUCAAUGGCGCAAGCCUGAACCAGCCAUGCCGCGUGUAGGAUGAAGCAUCUAUGGUGUGUAAACUGCUUUUGUACGGGAAGAAACACUCCUUCGUGAAGGAGCUUGACGGUACCGUAAGAAUAAGGAUCGGCUAACUCCGUGCCAGCAGCCGCGGUAAUACGGAGGAUCCAAGCGUUAUCCGGAAUCAUUGGGUUUAAAGGGCCCGUAGGCGGUUUAGUAAGUCAGUGGUGAAAGCCCAUCGCUCAACGAUGGAACGGCCAUUGAUACUGCUAGACUUGAAUUAUUAGGAAGUAACUAGAAUAUGUAGUGUAGCGGUGAAAUGCUUAGAUAUUACAUGGAAUACCAAUUGCGAAGGCAGCUUACUAUGGUUUUAUUGACGCUGAGGCACGAAAGCGUGGGGAUCAAACA
rnacentral:rRNA from 1 species